rnacentral:rRNA from 1 species
UACGUAGGCAGCAAGCGUUGUUCGGAGUUACUGGGCGUAAAGAGUGCGUAGGUGGUGCCCUAAGUCUGUUGUGAAAUCUCCCGGCUUAACUGGGAGGGUGCGGUGGAAACUGGGGUGCUUGAGUGUGGGAGAGGUAAGUGGAAUUCCCGGUGUAGUGGUGAAAUGCGUAGAUAUCGGGAGGAACACCAGUGGCGAAGGCGACUACCUGGCCUGCUCUUGACGCUGAGGCGCGAAAGCUAGGGGAGCAAACGGG